GACGCUCUUCUGAACUGUGAAGGUUGAAUGAAAAUUCCACAGUCCUUUCCAGUGUUCUCUUUGCCUUUUCUUUGCUGUAAUUAUGAUGGAAAGGUUGACAGCCAGUGGGGUGGCAAAAAGAGAAGCUCCCCCUCC